UUUGAGUCGCCGUGUGCGGGUGCGCGCGCGCGCGCGCCGACAAAAAAAAAACCGUCGCUCGGUAGAAAAAAAAAGCCGUUACACGGUCCGUUGCUUUCUCGUUCUCGGCGGCCGGAGAGAUUUCAUCCGUGAUUCGAUCCCGUUGUCGUCGUCGUUGCUGCGGCUGCUCACAAUAGUAGUUUGUAUUAGUGUGCUGACAAUCAUGCGUUCAGAUGCAAGGCCAUAAAGUGAGUUACUUCUUUAGAAGAUUUGGAUCUGGGGUAUCCUCACACAGCAUUCACACAACAUCAGCUGUACCUAUCCAGACUGCUGCAUUCAUUGUACUUUUUUACAUUCCUGACAUGAGCCUUGUGGAUGGUGGAGAUGGCAGAUGGAAGCUUUGUAUUGGAAAAGAGUACUUGAAAUGGUAUUUUGAUCCAGACCAUUGGAGCAUCAAAAAUUGCAAGAGAUUUGGAAAUUUCAGUACUGUAAACAUAUCAGCACAGUACAGUACCUCCUGUGCUACAAAUAGGUGAAACAAGUGAGGAGCGUCAAACAGUCAUACAAACAUUCUCAAGUGUCUCCAGAUGAAGUUGUUUUCUGUUACUUGAUGAGUAAAAAUGCGGUGGAAUCAAAAUUAUUGCAGAGCUGUGGUACAGCCCAGUGGAUAAAUGCACUACCUGCCGUGCUAUUGUGCUAUACAAAUGAGGAAGAUGCCAGGUUGGACCAUUCGCCACAGUUGAAUAAGUUAAUCACAGUAGAGGAGCAAUGAGAACACUCCAUUUGCCUGCAGCACCAUCAGACAAGGGAAAUGAGAUUGAUUUCUCAUUCUAGAUUGCUAUCCAAUGACUACUGCUGAAAAUUGCAGAUGUGCAUUUGGGGGAGAUUAAGAUUCGGCUCAGCUGUAAAAUAGUCAAAUAGCUUUCACAUCAAGCAUGGGGUAUUAGAAGCACUGCUGGCAUACAUAAAGCAUGCAUGACAGGAUGAGGUAAAUAUUUGUUACUUCUAUUCAACCAUCUAAAAAAAUAAUUUGUAUUAAAAUGACUUCCACAAUAAUUGCCUCUUUGAACACUAAAAGAUCCAGUCUCAACAUAGCACCUUGUGACCAGAUAUACACUUUGCCGUUUCACCGUUGCUAUUUUCCCCACCGAAAUUACUGUAUUUGUAUAUGUAUUAGAAUACAUUAGAUUAUA